rnacentral:rRNA from 1 species
UGGGGAAUUUUGGGCAAUGGCCGAAAGGCUGACCCAGCGACGCCGCGUGUGGGAGGAAGCCCUUCGGGGUGUAAACCACUGUUGCCCGGGACGAACAUGAGCAGUUGUGCUUACUGACGGUACCGGGUGAGGAAGCACCGGCUAACUCCGUGCCAGCAGCCGCGGUAAUACGGAGGGUGCAAGCGUUGUCCGGAUUUAUUGGGUUUAAAGGGUACGUAGGCGGUCGAUUAAGUCAGUGGUGAAAGCCCACAGCUCAACUGUGGAACUGCCAUUGAUACUGGUUGACUUGAGUGCAGAUGAGGUAGGCGGAAUUUAUGGUGUAGCGGUGAAAUGCAUAGAUACCAUAAAGAACACCGAUAGCGAAGGCAGCUUACUAAACUGUAACUGACGCUGAGGUACGAAAGCAUGGGGAGCGAACAGGAUUAGAUACCCUGGUAGA